rnacentral:rRNA from 1 species
GAUGAACGCUGGCGGCGUGCUUAACACAUGCAAGUCGAACGGAAAGGCCCAAGCUUGCUUGGGUACUCGAGUGGCGAACGGGUGAGUAAAACGUGGGUGAUCUGCCCUGCACUUCGGGAUAAGCCUGGGAAACUGGGUCUAAUACCGGAUAGGACGAUGGUUUGGAUGCCAUUGUGGAAAGAUUUUUCGGUGUGGGAUGAGCUCGCGGCCUAUCAGCUUGUUGGUGGGGUAAUGGCCUACCAAGGCGUCGACGGGUAGCCGGCCUGAGAGGGUGUACGGCCACAUUGGGACUGAGAUACGGCCCAGACUCCUACGGGAGGCAGCAGUGGGGAAUAUUGCACAAUGAGCGCAGGCCUGAUGCAGCGACGCCGCGUGGGGGAUGACGGCCUUCGGGUUGUAAACUCCUUUCGCUAGGGACGAAGCGUUUUGUGACGGUACCUGGAGAAGAAGCACCGGCUAACUACGUG